UCGCCUCUUCCCCCCAAGGCUCAACUUGUUGUGCAUUCUGCAGCCAUGCUGCUUAUCACAGCUGUAUAGAAAGAAUAAAUGUUAUCCGAGUUACAAUAGCCAUUCUGUCCUCUCAGAUGGCUGUUCUUCUCAUCAUUCUUGUCAACGAGGUAUUUCUAAGACUGUCAGAAUCCACGGUGGCUGUGUGCAGGUUACAUGUGUGCUGUGGUAUUUUUUUCUGCUUCUCCAUUCAGGGUGUGACGGACAGGUGCUUCUGCACAGGUGUUCCUAAUCUGAGAGCAAUCAGCUGGGCUUCUUAAGGGAGUGGAGAGCCAGAGGAAGGCGUCAACUCGUCUUUGUUCACUCCGUGGUAAACAGCUCAACCUCUGCUGCACUGCAGUUUUUGCUGUCUGAAAAUCUUAUCGUCUUGUUUUGUCUUCCCUGAUCUACAGAUCCUGCCUUGCCUAGUGCUUCGUGGAUUUUUCUGUUCCGGCAUUUUCUCGUGCAAUGUCUGGAGGAGUGUGGAAACUCAAAGCCGUCGACUGAUAGUGGCUGCUCGAUUCUCCAACUCCAAGCCCAGCCUCCCAAAAAACUCUCCAAGCCAAACUCAGAGGAUUAUUCACCUGCCUGUCCACCCUCCGAUGUCCCUGCCAAGACACAGCGUAGUUCCUCCGUGGAAAAGGAAAGCAAACAACCUAGAAAAUACUGGAAAUCAUCCGCACACUGCCUGCCAGUAACAGACGCCGCGGAGAAAGACUUAUCUCCCCCUGCCUCGCUCAGACUCCCUUCCCAAGCAAUUCCAGUCCGAUCUGAUGACCCAGUCUUGGUCCCAGCUCUUUCACAGCUCAGCGUUCAUAAUAAACUAUUUAAACGUU